rnacentral:rRNA from 1 species
GGUUGAUGCCAUGCUUCCAAGAAAAGCUUCUAAGCUUCAGGUAACCAGGAACCGUACCCCAAACCGACACAGGUGGUCGGGUAGAGAAUACCAAGGCGCUUGAGAGAACUCGGGUGAAGGAACUAGGCAAAAUGGCACCGUAACUUCGGGAGAAGGUGCGCCGGCUAGGGUGAAGGAUUUACUCCGUAAGCUCUGGCUGGUCGAAGAUACCAGGCCGCUGCGACUGUUUAUUAAAAACACAGCACUCUGCAAACACGAAAGUGGACGUAUAGGGUGUGACGCCUGCCCGGUGCCGGAAGGUUAAUUGAUGGGGUUAGCGCAAGCGAAGCUCUUGAUCGAAGCCCCGGUAAACGGCGGCCGUAACUAUAACGGUCCUAAGGUAGCGAAAUUCCUUGUCGGGUAAGUUCCGACCUGCACGAAUGGCGUAACGAUGGCGGCGCUGUCUCCACCCGAGACUCAGUGAAAUUGAAAUCGCUGUGAAGAUGCAGUGUAUCCGCGGCUAGACGGAAAGACCCCGUGAACCUUUACUGUAGCUUUGCACUGGACUUUGAGCCUGCUUGUGUAGGAUAGGUGGGAGGCUUUGAAGCGUGGACGCCAGUUCGCGUGGAGCCAUCCUUGAAAUACCACCCUGGCAUGCUUGAGGUUCUAACUCUGGUCCGUGAUCCGGAUCGAGGACAGUGUAUGGUGGGCAGUUUGACUGGGGCGGUCUCCUCCUAAAGAGUAACGGAGGAGUACGAAGGUGCGCUCAGACCGGUCGGAAAUCGGUCGCAGAGUAUAAAGGCAAAAGCGCGCUUGACUGCGAGACAGACACGUCGAGCAGGUACGAAAGUAGGUCUUAGUGAUCCGGUGGUUCUGUAUGGAAGGGCCAUCGCUCAACGGAUAAAAGGUACUCCGGGGAUAACAGGCUGAUACCGCCCAAGAGUUCAUAUCGACGGCGGUGUUUGGCACCUCGAUGUCGGCUCAUCACAUCCUGGGGCUGAAGCCGGUCCCAAGGGUAUGGCUGUUCGCCAUUUAAAGUGGUACGCGAGCUGGGUUUAGAACGUCGUGAGACAGUUCGGUCCCUAUCUGCCGUGGACGUUUGAGAUUUGAGAGGGGCUGCUCCUAGUACGAGAGGACCGGAGUGGACGAACCUCUGGUGUUCCGGUUGUCACGCCAGUGGCAUUGCCGGGUAGCUAUGUUCGGAAAAGAUAACCGCUGAAAGCAUCUAAGCGGGAAACUUGCCUCAAGAUGAGAUCUCACUGGGAACUUGAUUCCCCUGAAGGGCCGUCGAAGACUACGACGUUGAUAGGCUGGGUGUGUAAGCGUUGUGAGGCGUUGAGCUAACCAGUACUAAUUGCCCGUGAGGCUUGACCA